UGAGGAAUAUUGGGCAAUGGGGGAAACCCUGACCCAGCCACGCCGCGUGCAGGAUGACACCCCUAUGGGGCGUAAACUGCUUUUAUAUGGGAAGAACCCUUCCGAUUCGUCGGGAGCUGACGGUACCGUAUGAAUAAGGACCGGCUAACUCCGUGCCAGCAGCCGCGGUAAUACGGAGGGUCCAAGCGUUGUCCGGAUUUAUUGGGUGUAAAGGGUGUGUAGGCGGGCUUGUAAGUCAGAGGUGAAAUCCUACGGCUCAACCGUAGAACUGCCUUUGAUACUGCAAGUCUUGGGUCCUGGAGAGGUUGUUAGAAUUCGUGGUGUAGCGGUGAAAUGCGUAGAUAUCACGAGGAAUACCGGUUACGAAGGUUGACAACUGGACAGGUACUGACGCUGAGGCACGAAAGCGUGGGGAGCAAACAGGAUUAGAUACCCCCGUAGUCC
rnacentral:rRNA from 1 species